rnacentral:tRNA from 1 species
CUGCCGGUGGCUCACUGGUCAGAGCGUCGGCCUGCGCACUGGAAGGUCUCGGGUUCGAUUCCCGGUCGGCACA